rnacentral:rRNA from 1 species
UACGUAGGGAGCAAGCGUUGUCCGGAAUCAUUGGGCGUAAAGCGCGCGUAGGCGGCCUCGUAAGUCCGUUGUGAAAGUCAAAGGCUCAACCUUUGAAAGCCGAUGGAUACUGUGAGGCUAGAGUCCGGAAGAGGCGAGUGGAAUUCCUGGUGUAGCGGUGGAAUGCGCAGAUAUCAGGAGGAACACCAAUAGCGAAGGCAGCUCGCUGGGACGGUACUGACGCUGAGGCACGAAAGCGUGGGGAGCAAACAGG